rnacentral:rRNA from 1 species
GACGAACCGUCCGAACGUUAUUCGGAAUUACUGGGCUUAAAGGGUGCGUAGGCGGCCCUGUAAGUCAGGUGUGAAAUCCCACGGCUCAACCGUGGAACUGCGCUUGAAACUACAGGGCUUGAGGGAGAUAGGGGUGAGCGGAACUGAUGGUGGAGCGGUGAAAUGCGUUGAUAUCAUCAGGAACACCGGUGGCGAAGGCGGCUCACUGGGUCUCUUCUGACGCUGAGGCACGAAAGCUAGGGGAGCGAACGGGAUUAGAUACCCGCGUAGUCCCU